ACACGUCGAUAAUCUGCCCUAAGGUUGAGGAUACCCACGGAAAACUGUGGCUAAUACUUGAUAUUGAAUGGAUUCUGGAAUGAAUCAUUCAUUAAACGUAAGGCCUUAGGAUGAGUCGGCGGCGGAUUAGGCAGUUGGCGGUGUAAUGGACCACCAAACCAAAGAUCCGUAGGGGCCCUGAGAGGGGUAGCCCCGAGAGGGACACUGAAAUACUGGUCCCAGCUCCACGGAGUGCAGCAGGCGCGAAACCUCCACAAUGCGCGAAAGCGUGAUGGGGGGAUUCCGAGUGCUUACAUUUUUUGUAAGCUUUUGCCAAGAGUUCACAUCUUGGAGAAUAAGUGGUGGGUAAGACCGGUGCCAGCAGCCGCGGUAACCCCGGUGCCACGAGUGGCAAUCUUAUAUUGGGCCUAAAGCAUUCGUAGCAGGUUUAAAAAAUCCUUUGUGAAAUUGUUGAACUCAAUACAACAGCGUGCAGGGGACACUUUUAGACUAGAGACUGGGAGGAGUUGGGGGUAUGCCUUGGGGAGCGGUUAAAUGUGAUAAUCCAAGGUAGACCACCUGUGGCGAAGGCGCCCAACUAGAACAGUUCUGACUGUGAGGGAUGAAAGCUAGGGGAGCGAUCCGGAUUAGAUACCCGAGUAGUCCUAGCCGUAAACACUGUGAGCUAGGUGUCGCAUAUUCUACGAGAAUAUGCGGUGUCGAAAAGAAGUUGAUAAGCUCACCGCCUGGAA
rnacentral:rRNA from 1 species